GUGUCAGCCGCCGCGGUAAUACGUAGGGGGCGAGCGUUGUCCGGAAUUACUGGGCGUAAAGGGUGCGUAGGCGGUCUGUUAAGUCAGGUGUGAAAUACCACGGCUCAACUGUGGUGUUGCACUUGAAACUGGCAGGCUAGAGUGCAGGAGAGGGAAGCGGAAUUCCUAGUGUAGCGGUGAAAUGCGUAGAUAUUAGGAGGAACACCAGUGGCGAAGGCGGCUUCCUGGCCUGUAACUGACGCUGAGGCACGAAAGCGUGGGGAGCAAACAGGAUUAGAUACCCUGGUAGUCCACGCCGUAAACGAUGGAUACUAGGUGUAGGAGGGUAUCGACCCCCUUCUGUGCCGUAGUUAACGCAAUAAGUAUCCCGCCUGGGGAGUACGGCCGCAAGGCUAAAACUCAAAGAAAUUGGCGG
rnacentral:rRNA from 1 species